rnacentral:rRNA from 1 species
UCAAAAACAUGUCUUUUUGAAGUUAAUUUAAAGUCUAAUCUGCCCACUGAUAAAUAUUAAAGGGCUGCAGUAUAUUGACUGUACAAAGGUAGCAUAAUCAUUAGUUUUUUAAUUGAAAACUUGUAUGAAGGAUUUGAUGAAAUAAUAACUGUCUCUAAAUUAAAAAUAUAAUUUUAUUUUUUAGUAAAAAAGCUAAAAUAAAUUUAAAAGACGAGAAGACCCUAUAGAGUUUUAUAAAAAAAAUUAUUUAAAAUUUUAUAUUUAAUUUUUAAAUUUAAUUAAAUUUUUUAUUUUAUUGGGGUGAUAGAAAAAUUAAAUUAACUUUUUUUAAAUAAUAGAUAUUAAUGAAUAGAUAAAUGAUCCAUAAAUAAUGAUUAUAAGAAAAAAUUACCUUAGGGAUAACAGCGUAAUAUUAUUUUUUAGUUCAAAUAAAAAAUAAAGUUUGCGACCUCGAUGUUGGAUUAAGAUAAAAUUUAAAUGCAAAAGUUUAAAAUUUUGAUCUGUUCGAUCAUUAAAAUCUUACAUGAUCUGAG